UUCUAUGAUGUUCCUUCCUAAUCCUGCCCUGCAAUUCAUUUUGCAUUGCCUGUCGAGUUGCAAUGGAAUUCCCAUGAUGUUUUCACUGACUGCCUGGGCAGCAUCCAUCAGAGAAAUGGAGCAAGGAUAUGUUUCUACAGAAUAAAGCGGUCUGAAAUGCCCUGCUGUCACAGCACAAAACCAAGAGCACCUCUUCAUCUUCCCUCCGGCCAACGAAAGGGGACAGGAUUUUCAGUGAAACCCAGAUGUUGCUGUGAGUAUAUGUGUGCAUUUAUUAACAGAUAAUAGUGGAGGACUGCAAUUUAUAUCUGCAGAAGCUGAAAUAAUUAAGGAGGGUUGGGUAUUAAUGGAUGUAUGUUUUGAACAAUCUCAAAAACUUCUUUGUGUGGAAAAUUAAGAUCCUUGCUGAUAUUGAAAUAUCUCAGAUUGUUGUAAACCCAUGUUUCUAAUAUUUUAACUGGGAAUCACUUUCAUGGUCCGGCACUGCUGAUGCUGCCCCUUCAGAAGCCAGAAAAUGUCAGAUAUCUCAGUAUUUUCAGGAUUGUUUUGUUCCCAUUCAGGCUGACAGACAAAAAGGAGGGUUCUGAGGGAAGCUCUUAUUUCCUCCCUUCCCAUCUCCCUUUGCUCUUGGAAUAGCACCAUUGUACAGCACCGUUAUGCCAAAUUUUUUACAUAGAGACAGACUGGCCUGUCCCACAUUGUCAUUUCGACACUGUUUUUAACAAAGAUGUAUUUUCUGAGGAUCAUGUUUGAGAAUAAAUGGCUUUGGGUCUAGCACUAGUAAAAGAAGAAAAGCAAAUCCAAAGAACCCACUCAUUGAGUUCAGAGUAGCUACAGGGCAAUGCUGCAUCUUGCUUUUUAGGUGAAAUCUGCAAUUUUGUUUAUCCAGAGCAAUCUGUAACAGCUCUAUGGUAAAGCUGCUUUGAGGUUUAGUUUUGAAGUUUACUGCUCCCAGUUUUCAUUUAUUCCAUCAUAAUACAUGCAUAAAACAUUUUUAUUAUGUGGAUAGUAAUUUGCAUGAGCACGAGGACUUUAGCUCAAAUGCUCAUGAACAAGACUGUUCUUCAGUCGGGUCAACUGGAAGUUAUUCUGCUUUACUACAGGGCUUUCAGUUAAUUAAAUUCAAAGAACCUGUUCAACUGCUAAGGCCUGUUAUACUCCAGAUAAGGAAAAAAAUACAUUUUUUCAUCAGUCUCUGGGGACAGACACUGCUGAUGCUCCUCCUGCUGUAGCCACAAUACAGUGGGCCACAAUACAAGUGAAAAGGAGGAAGAAUGUCCUGCCCAAAGUAUUUCAGUGGGACAUACACGUCUGUGAUGAACACAGAAAGGACUAUUCAGAUGCAUUGUGUUAUAUGGAAUGAACUACAUUUCUGAUCUUCUAAUGCAAUGAAUAUUGUGCUCUGCAAGUAAUGUAAUUAACACAGGAAAAGAGGAGUGAACUGCAUUUACAGUAGAAGUGAACUUUACCUAAAAUUAUCAUUUCAGAAAAUUGACUGUUCUUCUAACUGUUGGUAAUUAUUUUUUCCUUUUUUUUCUUGAGUUCCUCUUUAUUUGGAUAGGUAAUAAAAUUAGUUUUGAUCCUGCACACUGAAGGAGAAACCCUAGUGGCCACAUUCUGACUCUACUUGAACUAGUGUAGGAGCUCAUACGGAAAAUUAAGUGAAAAUCAAUUAACAGUUGCCCCGGGCAUUUGAAACAAAUGCCAGGAAUCCCUAAAUGUUUCUCAGUUCUGUAUAAAUCAUAGCUGACAAGUGGUGGUAUCUCUGCUUCCACUGAAAAUUUGCUUUGUUACAGUGAAAAUUCUUUUAUUAUAUAUAGUUGCUGAUGUACAUAUAUAUAUGUAUUAACCGUCUACAUUUUCUCAUGUGCAUCUUCCAUAAAUCUCCUUUUGAGUCUCUUCCAAAGAAACUAACCUAUGCUUUUGAAGAAAAGAUGACUACCUGGUUGAAGAAAAGGAGUAAUGGAGAACACAUUCUUCAAGACAGAAAUCUUCCAGACUUCUCCCAGGUUUAAUUGGAGGUGCUUUGUAAACCUUUGAUGGUUAAGGACACCAGAUUUUGGAGUGAAAUGCUGGUGUAUGUAUACCAUUUUCAGUUUUAUAAGAUUUAGACCUGACUUCAUGGCCACUCAUUGCAUCUUCCUGUUGGUGAGGGUUAUGGAUAAGGUGUGGGUAGUUAAAGAAGAGCAAAUGAAGCAUGCUAGUUCAUAGAGUUGGGGGAAGAAGCUGGUGCAAUUGUGAUUUUUCUUUUUGCAAGCAUCGUAGAGGCUGGCUUUCAGAUAAUGUAGAUGUGUGAGGAUGUGUUUUGUCUCAGGAAUCAAGCUGGAGUCCAAGUCUGACAUUCAUUACUGUGCUGUGCAUUACCACAACUCUAGAAAAUAUUCUUCCAGCAAUUUAAAUUUAAUAUUUCACAGUCACUUUCAAACAUCAUCAGGCUGGGUCAGUACUUUCCUUUUUGUCUUUAAGUUGUAAAAAUUUUAUCUUCUCUACCUAAUAAAACACAUGCUGCACUCAAAAAUCUCUCAUUCCUUCUUGCAAAGGUGACAUAGCGAAGCUGUACAUAUACCACUCUUGGUAUCAAAUGUAAUUAUUGAUGUAAGGAACGUAUCAGCCCUGGCCUGUGUGAUGCUGCUAUUUCAUCUGCAGGCAUCCUUCUCCAAGCCAUAUAAACACACUGCUCCAGUGUUGUGCUUUCUUCAGCCCUUAGUUGACUGUAUAACAUUUUUGAAUGAGUUGUGUUUUGUACAUAGCCCGUGAAAUCAGUUUGUGCAGCAAUUGGUUGCUUUCCAGAAGAGUGCUGUAUGAGUGUAAGUCAUUAAUGUCG
rnacentral:lncRNA from 1 species